UGUGACAGUGACCAUGGGGGUCUGGAGCCUCCCGUGUCCAUGGGGGUGUGACAGGGACCGUGGGGGUCUGGAACCUCCCGUGUCCAUGGAGGUGUGACAGGGACCGUGGGGGUCUGGAGCCCCCCUGUCUGUAGGGAUGUGACAGGGACUGUGGGGGUCUGGAGCCCUCUUGUCAGUUGGGUCUGACAAGGAUCCCGAGGGUCAGGAGACCUCCCUGUCCAUGGGGUCUGAUGGACACGUGGGGUUCAACCAGGACCAUGGGGGUCUGGAGCUCUCCUGUCAGUGGGGUCUGACUAGGACUGUGGGGGUUUGGAGCCUUCCUGUCUAUGGGAUCUGACCAGGACUGUGGGGUUCUGGAGUCCUCUUGUCCACGGGGGUCUGACAGGGACCAUGGGGAUCUGGAGCCCUCCCUGUUUGUGGGGUCUGACAGGAACCAUGGGGGUCUGGAACUCUCUCUGUCCACACGAGUCUGAUGAGGGGAACAUGGGGGUCUGGAGCCCUCCUGUCCAGGGUGUUUGACAGGGAUACUGAGAGUCUGGAGCCCUCCCUGUCCAUGGGGUCUGACAGGGGACAGUGGGGGUCUGGAGCCCUCCUGCUCCGGGGGGGUCUGACUGCGCCUGGGUUUGGCUACCAGCCCAAGGGGACCUGAAGCACCCUUGCCCAGGGGAGGUGACCAGGACCCUCUUGCCAUAGUCUUUCUCACUGUGAGCGUCCAUUCUGCCCCGGCCCCAUUAAACCUCCUGAGGGGCCUGUCGCUGGCUCUCAGCUCUGUCAUGGCCGAGCUGUGACAGCCUGUCCCUGGCUGGCUCUGGCCUCCGGAGAGGGAGGUGUUUCUCUCCGGAGGAGAGCUGUUUAUGCCCAGUGAUUUUUUUUUUUUUGGUUAUUUUUUUAUUUUUUUUUCACCUCCCUCUGUGCUCUCCUGCACAAACCACGGCAGCAGCUCCAUGUCUGCCCAGCCUGGCAGUGCUCCGGCACGACUCUUUAUGUAGGUGAAGCAGGGAGCGCUGUGAGGAUCGUGUUGAGCUAUCAGUCUCCUGAGCCUGGAGCUUUGAGCCUAUUUAUAGGUAGGUUGGGCAGUCUUCAGCAUGAAGGACUCGUGCCACGUCCGAAUCCGUGGCAAAA